UCAGCCGCCUCCCGAGCCGCCCCGGCACAGCAGCGAUCGGCCUUCUGCUCGGCUGCCUUCAGUACCGCUCCCCGUGUGAGGUGUUGCCGUGGGCAGGGGGCCGCGCCGUGCCGCUGGCUCUCGGGCAGCCCCGGCCCUGCAGGAAGCACCGCGCAUCCGAGAGAAUGGCUUUUUGGUUGCCAGAUGGCAUGGCUACUUGGAUAGGCUAACAUAAAACAAGGAAGGAUCUGUGUUUGUGAUGUGGCAACUACUUCAUGCAUGUUGUCUCAAGGUAUCCAUGAAGAAUUUUGUGUUUGUUCUGUCUUCAGUAGGAACAAUAAGCAGUGAUAGAAGCAGGGAGGUCUUGGCCAAAUUUCUUGUAACAAUAUGCCAAACAAAAUACAUCAUGAUUUCAGUCAUUCAAACCAUGAGGACCUGAGAACUGCUGAAUUCAGCCAGAUGAAAAGUCUACCUAACCUACUAAAGGAAGUGAACAAAAACUUGGGAGAGUUACAUUUAAACCCCUUGUUCCAGUCCAUGUCUGCCUGCAUGUGGCCCUGGUCUGCCUGAGGAAGUGCCAUGGGGCUGAGAAAAGUACAAUUUAAGAACAUGGAGCAUUCUGGGGUAUGUGUAACUCUUUGUAUAAAAGAAAGACUUACAUGGCACAAUUUGGAUGAUCUCUGGACUUAAACCCAUUACCAGUAAAAAAUAAUGGUGCAAUUUUGAGAGCCAAAUGAAGAGACAACACACAAUACCAUAUACAAGGAAAAUCAGAGAUCUUUAACAAGUAAAGAGGAGGUACAUGAUGGAGCUAUUUACCAGCAGAUGGCGUGCCUGCCUCCCUGAGACCAGAGAUCCCAGCAGAAUGUAAAUGAUACAAGAAACUUGUAUAACAUAGAAACAAUUGUAUAAUAUAAGAAACAAUUAUGCAAUAAACGUGCUCCUCUUUCCUUAGAGGAAAGUAGUGAUGCUACCACAAUAUUUUUGAAGGAGAAAUGUCAGCAUUUUUGACUGCAUGACUAUGUGUUUGAAUUGUAUUAAAGGGCAGGUCUCUUCCUUUCCUUCACUAACCUCCACACACAUAAGCAAUUGAUUAUUAAUAAGAGAUUUUAUUUAAGUUCCUUUUUUAAAAAUAAUCCAUACUGGGAAAAAUAAAAGGCCAGCUGACAAAAAUUGCUUUGUCUGCCCCCUAGAAAUGGAAAAAGAGAAAUUAUUUUGCAAGCCACAGACAUGACAAAAUGAUGAUGGAAUUUAUACCAAAGCUUGCUGUAAGUACCCCUCAGGUAAACAAGUCCUGUGGUAAAAUCACGGCAUGAUGGAUAAAGAAAACUCUUACUACUGUCCUCUAGAUGUCAUGAUGUGGAAGAGGAGCAGCUGGAUACCAGGGCUGCCACUCUUGAAGCUAAAUAGGUUUUGACAUGCUCGUUAAAGAAAAGCUACAGUAAGGCACUGCAAAUUCACCGUGGUGCCCAUCCUGCUGUGACAUGCUCUGGAGCAAGCAGGCUCCUGCUCAGGUGCUGGCAAUAAACAGGCCAAGCCUGGGAAACCGGGACAUGGACACCCACAUCAGGUCCACAUUGGCCAUUCUGGCUUGGUCAGUCAGCAUAGAUUUUUAAUGACUUCCUUGAUAAAAUCAGAGAGAACAUGCAGUUAAACUUGUAGCACAGCGCUCUUCCAUGUAUAGGUUUUAUUUCUUACCAAAACAGCAUGGUUUUUACAUAUAUAUAUAUGCACAUAUAAAUAAAUAGAAUGCCAACAUAAAUAAAUACUUACACUUUUAAAUAUAUACACAUUAGGAGGACUUGCUAUUGCAACUGGCAGAUAUUUGCAAACAUGUACAGGUCUUGUCCUACAGCCCUUUCUUACAAAAGAAGAUACAACAAAUGCAGAGACUUGGUAUAAGAUAUUUAAGAAAAAGGAUUGUGUGAUUCUUUCAUAUAUAUGUCUAAAAGAAAGCCUGAAGAUCAGAGCUGAGUGAAGAUGAAUUG